rnacentral:rRNA from 1 species
UCCAGACUCCUACGGGAGGCAGCAGUGGGGAAUAUUGCACAAUGGGCGAAAGCCUGAUGCAGCAACGCCGCGUGAAGGAAGAAGGGUUUCGGCUCGUAAACUUCUAUCAACAGGGACGAAAGAAAUGACGGUACCUGAAUAAGAAGCCCCGGCUAACUACGUGCCAGCAGCCGCGGUAAUACGUAGGGGGCAAGCGUUAUCCGGAUUUACUGGGUGUAAAGGGAGCGCAGGCGGCGUGGCAAGUCAGAUGUGAAAACCCGGGGCCCAACCCCGGGAGUGCAUUUGAAACUGCCAUGCUGGAGUGCCGGAGAGGUAAGCGGAAUUCCUAGUGUAGCGGUGAAAUGCGUAGAUAUUAGGAGGAACACCAGUGGCGAAGGCGGCUUACUGGACGGUAACUGACGUUGAGGCUCGAAAGCGUGGGGAGCAAACAGGAUUAGAUACCCCAGUA